rnacentral:rRNA from 1 species
AACGAACGCUGGCGGCAUGCCUAACACAUGCAAGUCGAACGAGACCUUCGGGUCUAGUGGCGCACGGGUGCGUAACGCGUGGGAACCUGCCCUUAGGUUCGGAAUAACUCCCCGAAAGGGGUGCUAAUACCGGAUAAUGUCUUCGGACCAAAGAUUUAUCGCCUUUGGAUGGGCCCGCGUUGGAUUAGCUAGUUGGUAGGGUAAAAGCCUACCAAGGCGACGAUCCAUAGCUGGUCUGAGAGGAUGAUCAGCCACACUGGGACUGAGACACGGCCCAGACUCCUACGGGAGGCAGCAGUGGGGAAUAUUGGACAAUGGGCGAAAGCCUGAUCCAGCAAUGCCGCGUGAGUGAUGAAGGCCUUAGGGUUGUAAAGCUCUUUUACCCGGGAUGAUAAGGACAGUACCGGGGAAUAAGCUCCGGCUAACUCCGUG